CCCUCAGGACCCUGGGAUUCAUGUCAUCAGGGUCAGUGUCUACCAUGAUCCCCAAUACCUUUUCUGCAAAGAUCUCCUCCAGCCAUCUGGCUUCCUGCAUCUACUAGUACACGAGAUUUCUCCUCUCCAGGUGCAGCAUCAGCGCCUGGCAUGAUGCAUCCCACUCGAUAAGAGAAAGAUGGACGGGCUUUUUAAAGGCAAGGAUGGGGUGUGCAGGAGACAGCUGAAGAGGAAAGAAGAAUGGAAGCACCAAACCAACCUUUGUGAAGUGGAAUGAAAAAUAAGCAAUUAUUAUUAUUUUUUUUCCUUCGGCCAAGAUGGGGUUGAUGGAGAAAAUGCAAAUGAAUUUAACCAUUCAUGCAUCUCUUCUCAUUAAUUAAUCCCUUAUGGAAUGCAUACUUUUCCAGACACAACAGUACUAUCUGUCUGUAUUGCUGUACUGAAUACCUGUGAAAAAUGAGACAUGACAGCCCAUUAGAAAGACGAUUCCCAUUCUCCCAGAGUUGUAUCAUACUAUUCAUAGAGUUGUAAGCUACCAACAUCAUCGGCUUUACACUUUACCUUUUGUGUUACAGGAAUUUAUCUCUAGGCAAAAAAAUGCUUCUGAUUUUAUAGGUGAAGGAUAGGAUACGAUGCUAUUUAAAGCUUUCCAGAGCUUGUGCAUGUGCCCCUUGUAUGUUAAAAUUUAUACAGAAACAACAAAGCUGUGGAAAUUUUUCACAUUUAAUAGUUCUGUAUCUCUAGCAUAAAAAGUAGUCUUGUCAAAUAAGACCAAUAUUGGAGGCUUUAGACCCCUGUAAAUCAGAGGCAGCUGUGUUAACAGUCAAGAAAAAUUCAGUCUGAUAGCUACAGCCCUGUCCAAUGCUUUCUAGUAGAAGAAAUACUUAGAGGAAAAGUAAGGUAUU